GUGUCAGCCGCCGCGGUAAUACGUAGGGGGCGAGCGUUGUUCGGAUUUACUGGGCGUAAAGAGCGCGUAGGCGGUUCGAUAAGUCGGAGGUGAAAUCCCUCGGCUCAACCGAGGAUCCGCGUCCGAUACUGUCGAACUUGAGUGCAGGAGAGGAGAGCGGAAUUCCGAGUGUAGCGGUGAAAUGCGUAGAUAUUCGGAGGAACACCGGUGGCGAAGGCGGCUCUCUGGACUGCCACUGACGCUGAGGCGCGAAAGCUAGGGGAGCAAACGGGAUUAGAAACCCGUGUAGUCC
rnacentral:rRNA from 1 species